UGCUACAACAACUCUAAGACGCCACCGUAGUAAAUGCACUGACAGCCAUGUUCAUUUGUUCGGUUUUAUACUGGUUUCUAUCUUGGUUGUUCUGAACUGUUUUUGUACAAACAGUGAUGGAAGUGAACACGACUUUAAAUCUUCCACAGCUCCUCUGACCGAGUUGAUGAUCAGACUUGUCUUCCACCUGCUGGCUUUGACAGGACUCAUCUCAACAGCCAUCUUCUACCCAAGGCUAAAGAAUCAAGAAAUAAGAAGAAGAAGAGAAGCAGGAGGAGGAGGAGGAGGAGGAGGAAGACCAGCACCUCCAGACCAGGAGACGGCUCUGGAGGCCACUCCCUCUCUUAUGACAGAGUGCUGAGAGAAAAGCAUCAAGACUGAUCUCAAAUCAGUAAGGAUGACUCUCCAAGCUCAUAGAGAAAUGAUCUGCAGAAGAUCCUUCCUGCACUGACAGUGAUGAAGAACGUGAACCAGUGAUGUUGUUGACAGCAAUCUUACUUUGUCCUACAAGUUUGUUCAUUUUGCCUGCUGUGUUCUUUUCUCAUUUCCUUUUUUAAUAUUUGACUUUCUUACUCAUGAGUUCAGAUGUUUCAUUGAGUCAGGUCUGUGAUCAAAUAAACAGCUUUUGGUCUGACUAUAACUGUAAA